rnacentral:rRNA from 1 species
AUUGAACGCUGGCGGCAGGCUUAACACAUGCAAGUCGAGCGGGGUGAUGGUGCUUGCACUAUCACUUAGCGGCGGACGGGUGAGGAAUGCUUAGGAAUCUGCCUAUUAGUGGGGGACAACAUCUCGAAAGGGAUGCUAAUACCGCAUACGUCCUACGGGAGAGAGCAGGGGAUCACUUGUGACCUUGCGCUAAUAGAUGAGCCUAAGUCGGAUUAGCUAGUUGGUGGGGUAAAGGCCUACCAAGGCGACGAGCUGUAGCGGGUCUGAGAGGACGAUCCGCCACACUGGGACUGAGACGCGGCCCAGACUCCUACGGGAGGCAGCAGUGGGGAAUAUUGGACAAUGGGGGAACCCUGAUCCAGCCAUGCCGCGUGUGUGAAGAAGGCCUUAUGGUUGUAAAGCACUUUAAGCGAGGAGGAGGCUCUUUUGGUUAAUACCCAAGAUGAGUGGACGUUACUCGCAGAAUAAGCACCGGCUAACUCUGUGCCAGCCGCCGCAGUAA